rnacentral:rRNA from 1 species
GACGAACGCUGGCGGCGUGCUUAACACAUGCAAGUCGAGCGAUGAAGCUCCUUCGGGAGUGGAUUAGCGGCGGACGGGUGAGUAACACGUGGGUAACCUGCCUCAUAGAGGGGAAUAGCCUUCCGAAAGGAAGAUUAAUACCGCAUAAGACUGUAGUUCCGCAUGGAACAGCAAUUAAAGGAGUAAUCUGCUAUGAGAUGGACCCGCGUCGCAUUAGCUAGUUGGUGAGGUAACGGCUCACCAAGGCGACGAUGCGUAGCCGACCUGAGAGGGUGAUCGGCCACAUUGGGACUGAGACACGGCCCAGACUCCUACGGGAGGCAGCAGUGGGGAAUAUUGCACAAUGGGGGAAACCCUGAUGCAGCAACGCCGCGUGAGUGAUGACGGUCUUCGGAUUGUAAAACUCUGUCUUUGGGGACGAUAAUGACGGUACCCAAGGAGGAAGCCACGGCUAACUACGUGCCAGCAGCCGCGGUAAGAC